CAGACAAUGUAAGGACGUUAUUGUCGGUCUGUUUGUUUACAAACGUUCAGGAGCGAUAAAAAACGAUCGGUGGAUUGAUCGACCAUCGCGUCUGCACUAGAUGAAGCGUCACGCAAGUAAAGACUAUAGGUGUUGUAAUUUCCAUUCGGUUCGUGUCUUUUGCCAGAGACCUAGUACUUAUGUAAAAGCAGGGCAAAUAAGUGGGCGGGCGAAUUCGAAAAUACACCCACCAUGGAUUAAAUAUAACUGGAGAUGCACGCACACGGAAUGCAGUACGAUGGCACGCGAACGAUCGGUCGCUCGCAAAUAUGUAAAUUCCCGCAUCACGUCGAAAGCGCUGCU